rnacentral:misc_RNA from 1 species
GAUGAAGAACGCAGCGAGAUGCGAUAAGUAAUGUGAAUUGCAGAAUUCAGUGAAUCAUCGAAUCUUUGAACGCAUCUUGCGCUCCUUGGUAUUCUGAGGAGCAUGCCUGUUUGAGUGUCAUUAAAUUCUCAACUACACUGACUUUGAAUUGGUGUGGCUUGGAUUUGGGGGGAAAAUUGUUGUGGGCUUUUUGUAUAGUCUGCUCCCCUGAAAUUGAUUAGCGGUACCUUUGUGGAACUGUCUACAGGUGUGAUAAUUAUCUACAUCUUAGACAUCUGCUGGAAUGCUGCUUUCUAAACCUUACUUGUAUUGACAAUCUUGACCUCAAAUCAGGUAGGACUACCCGCUGAACUUAAGCAUAUCAAUAAGCGGAGGA